AACGAACGCUGGCGGCGCGUCUUACGCAUGCAAGUCGAACGGCAAGAGAGGAGCUUGCUUCUCUCCUAGAGUGGCGGACUGGUGAGGAACACGUGGGUAAUCUACCCUUAAGAUGGGGAUAGCUGCUAGAAAUAGCAGGUAAUACCGAAUACACUCGGCAUAUCACAAGAGGUGUUGAGGAAAGGAAGCUACGGCUUCGCUUGAGGAUGAGCUUGCGUCCCAUUAGCUAGUUGGUGAGGUAAAGGCCCACCAAGGCGACGAUGGGUAUCCGGCCUGAGAGGGUGAACGGACACAUUGGGACUGAGAUACGGCCCAAACUCCUACGGGAGGCAGCAGCUAAGAAUAUUCCGCAAUGGACGGAAGUCUGACGGAGCGACGCCGCGUGGAUGAAGAAGGCUGAAAAGUUGUAAAAUCCUUUUGUUGAUGAAGAAUAAGGGUGAGAGGGAAUGCUCAUCUGAUGACGGUAAUCGACGAAUAAGCCCCGGCUAAUUACGU
rnacentral:rRNA from 1 species